UGUGGGAGCGGGCUUGCCCGCGAUGGCGAUGUGUCAGUCACCGUAGAUGUCGCCUGAAAGACCGCUAUCGCGGGCAAGCCCGCUCCCACA
rnacentral:misc_RNA from 1 species